GGGUUUGCCAGGGCCUUCCUGAAUAGCCUCUCACUGAAAAUCAACGAAUAUCCACAUCCAGACUUACAGGAGGAAUGUGAAAGGGAGAUGGACUUGUAUGAAAGCGAAACUGAAGUGGAAGAAACAGAAAGUGAAGAAACUUAUGAGGAAGAAUUAGAAAACUAUGAACUGAUAUCAGAAGGUGAAAUAGAAGCAAA